rnacentral:rRNA from 1 species
AUUGAACGCUGGCGGCAUGCCUUACACAUGCAAGUCGAGCGGCAGCGCGGGGGCAACCCUGGCGGCGAGCGGCGGACGGGUGAGUAAUACAUCGGAACGUGUCCUUUCGUGGGGGAUAACCAGUCGAAAGACUGGCUAAUACCGCAUGAGAUCUCACGAUGAAAGCGGGGGACCGCAAGGCCUCGCGCGAUUGGAGCGGCCGAUGUCGGAUUAGCUAGUUGGCGGGGUAAAAGCCCACCAAGGCGACGAUCCGUAGCUGGUUUGAGAGAACGACCAGCCACACUGGGACUGAGACACGGCCCAGACUCCUACGGGAGGCAGCAGUGGGGAAUUUUGGACAAUGGGCGCAAGCCUGAUCCAGCCAUGCCGCGUGUGUGAAGAAGGCCUUCGGGUUGUAAAGCACUUUCGGCCGGAACGAAAUCGCGCGGAUUAAUAACCCGCGUGGAUGACGGUACCGGAAGAAGAAGCACCGGCUAACUACGUGCCAGCAGCCGCAGUAACAC